CUUACACAUAUAGCACACACACACACAGCACCCCCCCCACACACACACAGCACCCCUCAUAUACAACACUCACACACACACGCACCCCGCACCUCAAUGCAGUAUGUGUGUAUUCAGCAGUGUGUGUGUGUGUGUGUGUGCGUGUAUUCAGCAGUCUGUGUGUGUUUCCGUGUAUUCAGCGGACUGUGUGUGUGUACUCAGCAGUCUGUGUGUGUGUGUACUCAGCAGUCUGUGUGUGUGUGUACUCAGCAGUCUGUGUGUGUGUACUCAGCAGUCUGUGUGUGUGUAUUCAGCAGUCUCUGUGUGUGUACUCAGCAGUCUCUGUGUGUGUGUGUGUACUCAGCAGUCUGUCUGUGUGUGUGUGUGUGUGUACUCAGCAGUCUGUGUGUGUGUACUCAGCAGUCUGUGUGUGUACUCAGCAGUCUGUGUGUGUGUGUACUCAGCAGUCUGUGUGUGUGUGUACUCAGCAGUCUGUGUGUGUGUGUGUACUCAGCAGUCUGUCUGUAUGUGUAUUCAUCAGUCUCUGUAUUCAGCAGUCUUGUGUGUGUGUAUUCAGCAGACUGUGUGUAUGUAUUCAGCAGUCUGUGUGUAUGUAUUCAGCAGUCUGUGUGUAUGUAUUGCAUUUGUUGGAGAUACUAAUAAAUAUAAGCUUAAUUUGAUCUAUUUAUAUCAUUAUUUAAAAUUUGUAUCAUUGAACUCUCUGUGUUCUUUUAAAACAAAAGUUAUUAGUUCGGACAACAGUACGAGUUGUUUUUUUCUAAACUUAAACCUCAGUAUUUGGGUUUAAUUGCCGUGCUGGCACUUUAAGGAGAAAAAAUGUUGGCAUGUAUUGC